CAGGUACACGUCAUUUAUUCCUCCCCGAAAAAAGAGGUUUACAACCCAUAGGCAGUCUUCCCUCACGCUGUAUUGCUCCGUCAGGCUUUCGCCCAUUGCGGAAAAUUCCCCACUGCUGCCUCCCGUAGGAGUCUGGACCGUGUCUCAGUUCCAGUGAGUCUGGUCGUCCUCUCAAACCAGAUACUGAUCGUCGCCUUGGUAAGCUCUUACCUUACCAGCAAGCUAAUCAGCCGCGAGCUUCUCUCUAGGCGGGUAAAUAUAAAUCCAUUUCACUGGAAAGCAUAUGGGGUAUUAGCAUUCGUUUCCAAUGGUUGUCCCCCUCCUAAAGGCAAAUUCUCACGGGUUACUCACCCGUCCGCCACUAAAGUUAAAAACUGUGGUACGACUGGCAGGUGUUAGGCAGACA
rnacentral:rRNA from 1 species